UUGUUCCAAAGUGAAGAAAAACUGACUUCCUUCUCUCCAGAACAGUCCCCCUGUUUCUUCUCUUGAGGCAGAUGCCAAGGCAGAUAAUGCACAUCUGGUUAAGUGACAGGAGAGGCGAAGAAUCUGUAGACACACAUCACCACUCCCACGUCGGCCUUGCUGUUGGACACGCACGAUGUCGCCUUACCUGUGUGAAAAUGAACCGGCCCCGUUUGAGUUGGGACCACACAGGCAAGAGCUGUUCUUCACCCAUCUCCUGCCUUAUGGGGACCGGUGCUCUUUGUGGCUGUGACCUACACAAGCAAAAAGGGACGACAUUUCGGAGAUUCGAAUCCUUGGGGAACUGAGAUCUACAAGUUCUGCCUGAGCAUCCGGGAAGUGGGGACCAAGGAGAAUGGAGGCUUUGCCCUAGUCAUACAGUGAUUACCAGCCAGGCGGGGCCACACCCCAGAGUCCUCGUUGAUUUGUCAUUUUCCCACCAUCCAGAUAGGAAGCCUUUUGAAAGCAGGCACCGGCAAGAAGUUGACUGAGAACUAGAGGCCAAGUGUAUUCCUUUGCAGAGCUCCGUGUCUCCCUAUUUGUCUCGCAACCUUGGUGUUUGGGUGUUGAUCUGGCUGGGCUUUUAAUUACCAUUCCGACCGACCUGAAAGCGUUGGAGGGGAAGAUUAUCUUCUAAACAUCCUUGAUUUUCUUCUUACUGCCUUUCAUAAGUUCUCUCCAACGAGGGCUUGCUUCUGCUCUGCAGAAAUUAUCUGCUGGGGGCCAUGCCUGAUUUAUAGCAAUCUCUGGCAAAACCUCAGAAAAAAGAUAACACUUUUGUCUUAGACGGACAUCAGAGGUGGCAGCGGGACCCAGUGGAAAGGGUCCCCUGGUGGCAUGAGCUUCUGGGAGCCGAGAGUCCAGCUGAGGGACAGCCACUCAGGGCUUUCUUCUCCCCAAGGAGCGUGACGCAGUUAAGAAGGACAAAAAGAGGCACAAGGCGAAGAGUUGCCAAUGAACUAGGAGAGGAAGUGCUUUCAAGUUGCCGAGCAGCUCCUGGGUGCCGUGAGCUCACCCGCCCACAGCGGGGGUGCCGGUCAUGAAGUGACACUCAACGCCGGUCAACGCAGCAGAGGGGAGAUGGCCCAGGAAGUCAGUCUGAAUUCCCUCCAGGAACGGGAGCGUGAGGUCGUCCUCCAGGUCCUGUACCGAGACCAGGCGGUCCAAAACAUCGAGGAGGAAAGGAUCCGGUAUGCCGUCACCCGCGCGGUGCUGUUCCCUGGGCGCUGGGCUUUUCCUGCCCGCAGCCCGAUGCCCCUCGGCUCUGCUGCUGGCUCGCUGCUGCCUGCGGCCCCGGGUGUCCCCUAUGCCAGCGUCCCGUGCGGGGUGGAAGCGGCCCCGCUGUGUGACCGAGCCCGAAGGGAAGACGUUGCUUUUGUCAUUCGCUUAAAACAAUGCCUUUCGUUCUGGAUGAGUGUGUUGUCUGCUGCGUGUCCCCUUGCUCCUUUGUGGGAAUAAUGGACAGGAAGAUUCCCCGAUACCUGUCGGGGAAAGACCUCCAGGGAGGGGCUGCCUCGAGUGUGCGGCAGACCCGGGGCCACUGACCCUGUCUUUUUCUGUGUGUGUUUUUGCCAACAAGUUGGCUUUGAGGGAAAGGGAGCAUAAAAUCUGAACCUGCCCGGCCUGUUCUCCUGACUGAUCUGCCAACAGGAAGUUUCUUUCUGGAAGCUGCCCCCGCUGCCCGGUGGUCGUUAACGCUUGCUAACGCGUGCUAGACUGUGUCAAAACUGCCGACCGCUAGUGGUCAAGAUCCACCUUUAGAAA